GGUUAAGCGACUAAGCGUACACGGUGGAUGCCCUGGCAGUCAGAGGCGAUGAAGGACGUGCUAAUCUGCGAUAAGCGUCGGUAAGGUGAUAUGAACCGUUAUAACCGGCGAUUUCCGAAUGGGGAAACCCAGUGUGUUUCGACACACUAUCAUUAACUGAAUCCAUAGGUUAAUGAGGCGAACCGGGGGAACUGAAACAUCUAAGUACCCCGAGGAAAAGAAAUCAACCGAGAUUCCCCCAGUAGCGGCGAGCGAACGGGGAGCAGCCCAGAGCCUGAAUCAGUGUGUGUGUUAGUGGAAGCGUCUGGAAAGGCGCGCGAUACAGGGUGACAGCCCCGUACACAAAAAUGCACAUACUGUGAGCUCGAUGAGUAGGGCGGGACACGUGGUAUCCUGUCUGAAUAUGGGGGGACCAUCCUCCAAGGCUAAAUACUCCUGACUGACCGAUAGUGAACCAGUACCGUGAGGGAAAGGCGAAAAGAACCCCGGCGAGGGGAGUGAAAAAGAACCUGAAACCGUGUACGUACAAGCAGUGGGAGCCUCUUUUAUGGGGUGACUGCGUACCUUUUGUAUAAUGGGUCAGCGACUUAUAUUCUGUAGCAAGGUUAACCGAAUAGGGGAGCCGAAGGGAAACCGAGUCUUAACUGGGCGUUAAGUUGCAGGGUAUAGACCCGAAACCCGGUGAUCUAGCCAUGGGCAGGUUGAAGGUUGGGUAACACUAACUGGAGGACCGAACCGACUAAUGUUGAAAAAUUAGCGGAUGACUUGUGGCUGGGGGUGAAAGGCCAAUCAAACCGGGAGAUAGCUGGUUCUCCCCGAAAGCUAUUUAGGUAGCGCCUCGUGAAUUCAUCUCCGGGGGUAGAGCACUGUUUCGGCAAGGGGGUCAUCCCGACUUACCAACCCGAUGCAAACUGCGAAUACCGGAGAAUGUUAUCACGGGAGACACACGGCGGGUGCUAACGUCCGUCGUGAAGAGGGAAACAACCCAGACCGCCAGCUAAGGUCCCAAAGUCAUGGUUAAGUGGGAAACGAUGUGGGAAGGCCCAGACAGCCAGGAUGUUGGCUUAGAAGCAGCCAUCAUUUAAAGAAAGCGUAAUAGCUCACUGGUCGAGUCGGCCUGCGCGGAAGAUGUAACGGGGCUAAACCAUGCACCGAAGCUGCGGCAGCGACACUAUGUGUUGUUGGGUAGGGGAGCGUUCUGUAAGCCUGUGAAGGUGUACUGUGAGGUAUGCUGGAGGUAUCAGAAGUGCGAAUGCUGACAUAAGUAACGAUAAAGCGGGUGAAAAGCCCGCUCGCCGGAAGACCAAGGGUUCCUGUCCAACGUUAAUCGGGGCAGGGUGAGUCGACCCCUAAGGCGAGGCCGAAAGGCGUAGUCGAUGGGAAACAGGUUAAUAUUCCUGUACUUGGUGUUACUGCGAAGGGGGGACGGAGAAGGCUAUGUUGGCCGGGCGACGGUUGUCCCGGUUUAAGCGUGUAGGCUGGUUUUCCAGGCAAAUCCGGAAAAUCAAGGCUGAGGCGUGAUGACGAGGCACUACGGUGCUGAAGCAACAAAUGCCCUGCUUCCAGGAAAAGCCUCUAAGCAUCAGGUAACAUCAAAUCGUACCCCAAACCGACACAGGUGGUCAGGUAGAGAAUACCAAGGCGCUUGAGAGAACUCGGGUGAAGGAACUAGGCAAAAUGGUGCCGUAACUUCGGGAGAAGGCACGCUGAUAUGUAGGUGAAGUCCCUCGCGGAUGGAGCUGAAAUCAGUCGAAGAUACCAGCUGGCUGCAACUGUUUAUUAAAAACACAGCACUGUGCAAACACGAAAGUGGACGUAUACGGUGUGACGCCUGCCCGGUGCCGGAAGGUUAAUUGAUGGGGUCAGCGCAAGCGAAGCUCUUGAUCGAAGCCCCGGUAAACGGCGGCCGUAACUAUAACGGUCCUAAGGUAGCGAAAUUCCUUGUCGGGUAAGUUCCGACCUGCACGAAUGGCGUAAUGAUGGCCAGGCUGUCUCCACCCGAGACUCAGUGAAAUUGAACUCGCUGUGAAGAUGCAGUGUACCCGCGGCAAGACGGAAAGACCCCGUGAACCUUUACUAUAGCUUGACACUGAACAUUGAGCCUUGAUGUGUAGGAUAGGUGGGAGGCUUAGAAGUGUGGACGCCAGUCUGCAUGGAGCCGACCUUGAAAUACCACCCUUUAAUGUUUGAUGUUCUAACGUUGACCCGUAAUCCGGGUUGCGGACAGUGUCUGGUGGGUAGUUUGACUGGGGCGGUCUCCUCCUAAAGAGUAACGGAGGAGCACGAAGGUUGGCUAAUCCUGGUCGGACAUCAGGAGGUUAGUGCAAUGGCAUAAGCCAGCUUGACUGCGAGCGUGACGGCGCGAGCAGGUGCGAAAGCAGGUCAUAGUGAUCCGGUGGUUCUGAAUGGAAGGGCCAUCGCUCAACGGAUAAAAGGUACUCCGGGGAUAACAGGCUGAUACCGCCCAAGAGUUCAUAUCGACGGCGGUGUUUGGCACCUCGAUGUCGGCUCAUCACAUCCUGGGGCUGAAGUAGGUCCCAAGGGUAUGGCUGUUCGCCAUUUAAAGUGGUACGCGAGCUGGGUUUAGAACGUCGUGAGACAGUUCGGUCCCUAUCUGCCGUGGGCGCUGGAGAACUGAGGGGGGCUGCUCCUAGUACGAGAGGACCGGAGUGGACGCAUCACUGGUGUUCGGGUUGUCAUGCCAAUGGCACUGCCCGGUAGCUAAAUGCGGAAGAGAUAAGUGCUGAAAGCAUCUAAGCACGAAACUUGCCCCGAGAUGAGUUCUCCCUGACUCCUUGAGAGUCCUGAAGGAACGUUGAAGACGACGACGUUGAUAGGCCGGGUGUGUAAGCGCAGCGAUGCGUUGAGCUAACCGGUACUAAUGAACCGUGAGGCUUAACCUU
rnacentral:rRNA from 1 species